GAUGAAGAACGUAGCGAAAUGCGAUAAGUAAUGUGAAUUGCAGAAUUCAGUGAAUCAUCGAAUCUUUGAACGCACAUUGCGCCCCCUGGUAUUCCGGGGGGCAUGCCUGUUCGAGCGUCAUUUCACCACUCAAGCCUCGCUUGGUAUUGGGCAACGCGGUCCGCCGCGUGCCUCAAAUCGACCGGCUGGGUCUUCUGUCCCCUAAGCGUUGUGGAAACUUUCGCCAAAGGGUGUUCGGGAGGCUACGCCGUAAAACAACCCCAUUUCUAAGGUUGACCUCGGAUCAGGUAGGGAUACCCGCUGAACUUAAGCAUAUCAAUAAGCGGAGGA
rnacentral:misc_RNA from 1 species